GAUUUUAAAAGAAGAGACUCAGCUUUGCGCAGUGGCAGUAUUGUAGCCAAUGAGGUUUAUCCGAGGCGUGAUUAUUGCUAAUUAAA